GUACUUAAAUAAAAUGGUAAUUACGAACAUAGGUAAUAUUCAAAAUCAUUAAAUAAAAUGUUCAUUAUAAAUUAUAAAUAAUGAUAAAAUACUUGAAUUAAAUGUUCAUUGUAACAUAGGUAAUGAUCAAUAACUCUUAAUAGAAAGUUCAAUAUAAUACAAUACAAUGUUCAUUAUCUAAAUAAAAAAUAUUCAAUAUAUUUCAAUGCAAUGUUCAUUACUAAUAUACGUAACAUUCAAAGUCAUUCAAUAAAAUGUUCAUUAUUGUUGUAGACAAUGUUCAAUUUCCUUGAACUGAAUAUUCAUAUAUUUGUUAAGAAUGUUAUAAGUAAACAAUGAACAAUAUUUUCUUUUGGGACAGAACAAUUCAAAAAUUCAUAACAUAAUAUGUAUUUUAUCAAAAUAUAUAAUGUUCAUAAGAUCUGAGCUAAAAAUUCAUUAACAUUAUAUACAUUGAUAAUAAAUAAAAUUAUGAAUAAAAAUCGAACAAAAAAUAACGUACAAUUGCAAAAAAAUAAGAAAAUCUGCAGAAAACAAAAACAAAGAAACAAAUCAAAAUCGAAAUAUCCAGCGAAAACACGAAAAAUAACAAAAUUCUAAACACAUUUUAUCCAAAAUCAAAAUAUAAAAUCGAAAACAAUCAAAACCAAAAACAUUGAAAUCAAAACAAAUAAAUGAAAAUAAUAAAAAUAUAAACUUACGUUCUGACUUCAAUGUACUUAAAAUUCCAGAAUUAGAUUCGAAAAGAGCUUCAGAAUUUUCCAUAACUGCGAGCUCCAUGGAAACAGAGGAGAGAGAAAAUAGGAGAGAAAAAAUCGAAAUAAACCCUAAGAACAAGAUAUAUCGCAACUUGAAGAAGAAGAAACAAAAAAAAAAAGAGUUAGAAAACUUAGGAAACUCAGGAAGGGGAUAAAGAUAUGCUGAACGACGUCGUUUUCGGGGAUACAGCCAGCGCUGGCUGUACCCGCAUCACACGACGUCGUUUGAUUAGGGGUACAGCCAGCUUGGCUGUACCCGAGGGCAGCCAAAAAAUUGCGCAUAACAAAUUAACAAUGGCGAACAAAGCUUGUAAUCUUCAAUUAAGAACCAUGUAACCACAAGUCCAAAAUCUAUAAAUUAGCUUUAUUUCAAAAACAUAAAAUCCUAUUAUGAAAUCUUACUUCUUUCUUAAAAAUAAUUAUCUCAAAAUUCUAUCUCCUUCAAAUUUCCACACCUUGAAACCCAGAUCAUAUCAUCGAAUUCCAUGGCAAUUAACUCCAACCCAUCUCAAUUCUCUCCUAAAUGCUGCAACCCAGAACAACAAAUGCUUCAAACAAGCUACCCAAAUUCAUACCCAGAUCAUAAUCAAUCGCUAUACUACCUUCCCUUUCCUCCUUAAUAAUCUCCUAAAUUUGUAUGCUAAUUCUGGGCAAAUUAUUAAAAGUUUAAUCUUGUUUUCGAAUAUUGAAGAUUGUUGUAAAAAUGUUAUUACUUGGACUUCCCUAAUUACUAAUUUAUCUCGUAAUAAUAUCCCCAAUAAAGCAUUAACAUUGUUUAAUCAAAUGAGGGUUUCUGGGGUUAACCCUAAUCAGUUUACUUUUUCUGCAAUUUUACCUGCUUGUGCUAAUUUGAAGAACCCUUUUCACGGGGUUCAAAUGCAUAGUUUGAUUUGGAAACAUGGGUUUGAUAUUCAUGUUUUUGUUGGGAGUGCAUUAGUGAAUAUGUAUGCAAAAUGUUGUGAUAUGUUGUGUGCACAGAAGGUGUUUGAUGAAAUGCCUGAGAGAAACCUUGUUUCUUGGAACUCUAUGAUUGUUGGAUUUUUAGACAACGAGGUUUAUGAUCAUGCGCUUUUGAUUUUCAAAGAGGUUCUUAGGGAGACAUCUAUAACUCCUAAUGAAGUUAGUGCGUCGAGUGCCUUGACUGCUUGUGCUAACAUGGAUGAUGGUUUGGAUGUUGGGAAGCAAGUCCAUGGCAUUGUGUUUAAGUGCGGAUUAAUAACUUUAGCAUAUGUGAAGAAUUCUCUUAUGGAUAUGUAUUGGAAGUGUGGAUCGUUUGAAGAUGCUGUUACAUUGUUUAAGAGUAUUGCUGAAAAGGAUGUAGUUACAUGGAAUGUGUUGAUGUUAGGAGUUCACAAAAAUAAUGACUUUGAAGAAGCUUUUAAAUAUUUUGUGCUCAUGAGAAGCCAAGGCGUAUCGCCUGAUGAGGCAUCAUACUCUACUGCUCUAAAUGCUUGUGCCAGUCUUGCGGCUCUGAAUCAGGGUAUGCUUAUACAUAAUCUGAUCUUGAAAAGUGGGUUUGAGAAAGAUAUGUCAGUAGCUAGUUCGUUGAUCGCAAUGUAUGCCAAAUGUGGAAGCUUGGUAGAUGCUCAAAGGGUGUUUUAUGCAAUAAAUAACCCAAAUGUUGUAUGUUGGACAGUGAUGAUUUCAGCUUUCCAGCAAUAUGGAUGCUCAAACCAAGCAAUCGAAUUGUUCGAGAACAUGUUGCAUCAGGGAAUAAAGCCUGAUUAUCGAACUUUUGUAUGUGUACUUUCUGCAUGUGCUCAUACUGGUAAAGUGGAAGAGGGAUUUGCUUACUUCAAUUCAGUGGAAUCAGUCCACAACAUGAACCUUGGUCAUGAACACUACGCUUGCAUGGUUGAUUUACUGAGCCGUGCAGGUCGUUUGGAAGAAGCGAAGAGGUUUAUAGAAUCAAUGCCUGUGAGUAUGAACCCAGGUCCAUCUGUUUGGGGAGCAUUGCUCGGUGCUUGUAGAAAUCAUGGAAAUCUUGAAAUUGGCAAAGAAGCAGCUGAAAAGCUUUUCCUGAUUGAACCCAGAAACCCAGGAAAUUAUGUGAUUCUUGCUAACAUUUACACACGUAAAGGAAAAUUACAAGAGGCCGAUGAAAUUAGGAGACGAAUGGGAGUUCAAGGUUUGAGAAAGGAGCAUGGAUGUAGCUGGAUAGACGUUAACAACACCACCUUUGUAUUUACUGCAAAUGAUAAGUCACAUCCAAGAACACAUGAAAUCUAUACUCUACUAAGAAAGUUCAAGGAACAAUUGAAGAAAAGAGGCUAUCUUUCUGAUACCAACUUUGCUGCAAAUAACACAGAGGAGAGUUUGUGGCAUCACAGUGAGAAACUAGCACUUGCAUUAGGGCUACUGGCCCUUCCUGUUGGGGCACCGAUUAGGAUAAAAAAGAAUAUGAGAACUUGUGGAGAUUGUCAUACAGUUAUGAAGUAUGCUUCUGAAAUCUUCAACAGAGAGAUCAUUGUUAGAGAUGUUAAUAGGUUUCACCAUUUUUCUGCUGGCAAUUGUUCCUGUAAAGAUUAUUGGUGAAUUAGAUUACUCAUACUCGGAUUCAACCAAAACAUCGUCGAUCAAGGAGGUUGACCUUGGAACUUGGAACUUGGAAGGAAGUUGGCCUAAUCUGCUGAGCUUUUUUUCUGUUGCAGUUUUGUUGCAGCACAUCAGGACUUUCAGGAGGAGGGUAAAUCACCUGAUCAAACACUUCCUAUUACGUACUAGUGUACUACUACUACAAGGUUUGCAGGAGGCACAAAUAUGAUCUGCAGAAUGUAGUUACUGCAUAAAUAUCAGCUGCAGAAUAUAGUUAGGUAAUUAAGAAUCUAUAUGCCCUUAUAACUAAUUUAUCUCUUAAUCCAAAACACGACCUUAUUUACCCCCGAAAAAUGAUCAUGAGACGCGAGCUGUCACGUGUUCACAUUUUCCCCGAUGCUAUCGCACAACGUAUCCAAGACAACUUCUUAUACUUGUGUGCCUAUACUAAUGCAAGUUAAUAUAUAUCAUUUUGGGUUAUGCCUAUUCUAAUGCAUGUUUCUUGGUGCAGGUUAAUAUAUAUCAUUCCGUGGCAUGCCUAUACUAAUGCAUGUUUCUUGUGCAAGUUAAUAUGUAAUAUUCCAUGUUAUGCCUAUACGAAUGCAUGUUUCUUGGUGCAAGUUAAUAUAUAUCAUUUCGUGUUAUGUCUAUUCUAACGCAUGGUUCUUGGUGCAGGUUAAUAUAUAUCAUUAUGUGUCAUUUCUUCUACUAUAGUGUUGAACGAUGUUUGUUGCGCAUAUAGAGUAGGCUGACCUGGAUCAAGCCACGGGGAUUCAGGCGUAUAGCUGGCGGUCAAAGGCAUAUCUAUGACACAGCGCGUUCCCAUAUUUUUCUCAAUUGGGCGUUCUUGUCGUAUAUAAAAGGAAAUAAAUAAAUAAAAGGAGGAUAAGUAGAACAAAUAAGCAAGGGAGAUAUUAAGUUAGGUGAGUGCCCUUAUCCCUUAGGGAAUUUAUUCUUAUAUACAAGUAGUUAACAAUAUCUCUACCCUAGAUUAACCAUUUAACCCUCUACUAUUAUCUCCCACGUUUUUUUUUUGUAUCAUUAUUGCCAAUUUGUCACAGUUGCUGCUCAUGUUGUUGCUUUGUGAUUUUGGAUUUUUUUGUCAUUUAACACUUUAAAAAAAUUAAUUUUUGUAAUUAAACACCUUACUUAUUUUUUAUUAUAUUUAAGGCAAAUUUGCCAAAAAGGACCUUUUAUAACUCAAAUUUUGCGAGAAAGGACCUUAUAUAAUUUUUUUUGUGAGAACACACCUUAAAGUAAUUUUUUUUGCGAGAAAGGACCUAAGGAAAGUUUUCGGCAUUGACUGAGCUUUUCCGGCCAUUGACUUGCACGUGAGCAGCACGUGUGGCUUACGUUGGCUAAAGACAUUGAUUUUCCCGAGUCUUGAAUUUUCAAACUUGAUUUUAUUUCGAUUUUUUUUUUUCCAACUUUAGGUUUUAAAGCUUGAAUUUUGGAGGAAAAUUGGGUGUGAUUAGCAAUAUAAAGUCACACGUGCUUCUCACGUGCAAGUCAAUGGCCGAAAAAGCUCA